GUAGGUGGCAAGCGUUGUCCGGAAUUAUUGGGCGUAAAGCGCGCGCAGGUGGUUCUUUAAGUCUGAUGUGAAAGCCCCCGGGCUCAACCGGGGAGGGUCAUUGGAAACUGGGGAACUUGAGUGCAGGAGAGGAAAGUGGAAUUCCACGUGUAGCGGUGAAAUGCGUAGAUAUGUGGAGGAACACCAGUGGCGAAGGCGACUUUCUGGCCUGUAACUGACACUGAGGCGCGAAAGCGUGGGGAGCAAACAGGAUUAGAUACCCUGGUAGUCCACGCCGUAAACGAUGAGUGCUAAGUGUUGGGGGGUUUCCGCCCCUCAGUGCUGCAGCUGACGCAUUAAGCACUCCGCCUGGGGAGUACGGUCGCAAGACUG
rnacentral:rRNA from 1 species